rnacentral:rRNA from 1 species
AAGCGCCUGUGACCAGACUUGUGCUUGGCGGUUCCGUAGGCCUUCUGGCCUGCGUUCUCCGUCUUGUUCAGGCCAGCAUCGGUUUCCGUAGGGGGACAAAAGCGGUGGGAAUGUGGCUCUCUUCGGGGAGUGUUAUAGCCCAUCGUACAAUGCCCUUCCGGGGACCGAGGUUCGCGCUCUGCAAGGAUGCUGGCGUAAUGGUCAUCAGCGA